UGAGAAUAAUGCCCCAUAGUUCACUACGCCUGGAACGGUGAGUGGAUGAAAGCUCCGGCGGCAUAGGAUGGGCCUGCGGCGUAUCAGGUCGUAGGGGGUGUAACGUACCCUCUAGCCAUCGACGCGUACGGGUGUUGGGAGACAUAGCCCGGAGAUGGAUUCUGAGACACGAAUCCAGACCCUACGGGGUGCAGCAGGCGCGAAAACUUGGCAAUGCGGGAAAUCGUGACCAGGGAACUCCAAGUGGCUGGGGUAAGACCCAGUCUUUUCUUGACUCUUCAAAGGUCUUGGAAUAAGAGGUGGGUAAGGACGGUGCCAGCCGCCGCGGUAAUACCGGCGCCUCAAGUGGUAGUCGAUUUUAUUGGGCCUAAAACGUCCGUAGCCUGUUUGGUACAUUCGUGGGUAAAUCAACCAGCUCAACUGGUUGAAUUCUGCGAGCACGGCCAGACUUGGGACCGGGAGAGGUGUGGGGUACGCUCAGGGUAGGGGUAAAAUCCUGUCAUCCUGAGCGGACCACCUGUUGCGAAGGCGCCACACUAGAACGGAUCCGACGGUCAGGGACGAAGCCUAGGGGCACGAACCGGAUUAGAUACCCGGGUAGUCCUAGGUGUAAACGCU
rnacentral:rRNA from 1 species